rnacentral:rRNA from 1 species
UACGUAGGGGGCGAGCGUUAUCCGGAUUUACUGGGCGUAAAGGGCGCGUAGGCGGCCAUCUAAGUCAGACGUGAAAUCCCCCGGCUUAACCUGGGAACUGCGUCUGAUACUGGACGGCUUGAGUAUGGGAGAGGGAUGUAGAAUUCCAGGUGUAGCGGUGAAAUGCGUAGAUAUCUGGAGGAACACCGGUGGCGAAAGCGGCUUACUGGGUCUUUUCUGACGCUGAGGCACGAAAGCUAGGGUAGCGAACGGG